UAGUCAAGAGGGAAACAGCCCAGACCAACAGCUAAGGUCCCCAAUGCCGUACUAAGUGGUAAAGGAUGUGGAGUUUCGAAAACAACCAGGAUGUUGGCUUAGAAGCAGCCACCAUUAAAAGAGUGCGUAAUAGCUCACUGGUCGAGAGGCCUUGCGCCGAAGAUGUCCGGGGCUCAAGUACAGAACCGAAGUCGCGGCAGGAUUUAUAAUUCUGGGUAGGGGAGCGUUGUAUAUCCGACUGAAGGUGUACCGGAAGGAGCGCUGGAGGAUAUACAAGAGAGAAUGCCGGUAUGAGUAGCGAAAAGAACAGUGAGAAUCUGUUCCACCGAAAGCCUAAGGUUUCCUGAGCAACGCUCGUCGACUCAGGGUAAGUCGGGACCUAAGCCGAGGCAAAAAGCAUAGGCGAUGGACAACAGGUUAAUAUUCCUGUACCGCUUCAAAUCGUUUGAGCAAUGGAGUGACACAGAAGGUAGCUUGAGCACGCGAAUGGAUGUGCGUGUCGAAGGUGGUAGAUUGCAGUAUAGGCAAAUCCGUACUGUAUAAGAUCGAGAACUGAUAGAUAGACAAUACUUCGGUAAAGUCAAAUUCAAGUGAGCCAUGCUGUCGAGAAAAGCUUCUAGUGAGAGAUGAGGCGCCCGUACCGAAACCGACACAGGUAGGCGGGGAGAGAAUCCUAAGGUGCGCGGGACAACCCUCGUUAAGGAACUCGGCAAAUUGUAUCCGUAACUUAGGGAUAAGGAUAGCCGGAGGAUGUGAAGGGAUUUACUUCUGGAGCGUCAGCCGGUGGCACAAGAGAGGCCCAAGCGACUGUUUAGCACAAACACAGGUGCCUGCGAAAGAGAAAUCUGAAGUAUAGGUGCUGACACCUGCCCGGUGCUGGAAGGUUAAGAGGAGGGCUUAGAGGCAACUCGAAGGCUUGAAUUGAAGCCCCAGUAAACGGCGGCCGUAACUAUAACGGUCCUAAGGUAGCGAAAUUCCUUGUCGGGUAAGUUCCGACCCGCACGAAAGGUGUAACGACUUGGGCACUGUCUCAACGAGGGACCCGGUGAAAUUGAAGUACCUGUGAAGAUGCAGGUUACCCGCGACUGGACAGAAAGACCCCAUGGAGCUUUACUGCAACCUGACAUUGAUGUUCGGUAAAUAACGUACAGGAUAGGUGGGAGACGGAGAAGUAUUGGCGUUAGCUGAUAUGGAGUCAACCUUGGGAUACCACCCUUUAUUUAUUGGACCUCUAACUGAAGAAGUAACGACUCUCAGGACAGUAUCAGGCGGGCAGUUUGACUGGGGCGGUCGCCUCCCAAAAUGUAACGGAGGCGCCCAAAGGUUCCCUCAGCGCGAACGGAAACCGCGCAAAGAGUGUAAAGGCAGAAGGGAGCUUGACUGCGAGUCAGACACGACGAGCAGGUACGAAAGUAGGGCUUAGUGAUCCGGUGGUUCCGAGUGGAAGGGCCAUCGCUCAACGGAUAAAAGCUACCCUGGGGAUAACAGGCUAAUCUCUCCCAAGAGUCCAUAUCGACGGGGAGGUUUGGCACCUCGAUGUCGGCUCAUCACAUCCUGGGGCUGGAGCAGGUCCCAAGGGUUGGGCUGUUCGCCCAUUAAAGUGGUACGCGAGCUGGGUUCAGAACGUCGUGAGACAGUUCGGUCC
rnacentral:rRNA from 1 species